GAUGAAGAACGCAGCGAAAUGCGAUAAGUAGUGUGAAUUGCAGAAUUCAGUGAAUCAUCGAAUCUUUGAACGCACAUUGCGCCCCUUGGUAUUCCAUGGGGCAUGCCUGUUCGAGCGUCAUUUGUACCCUCAAGCUAUGCUUGGUGUUGGGCCUCCGUCCUCCUCCCGGGGGACGGGCCCGAAAGGCAGCGGCGGCACCGCGUCCGGUCCUCGAGCGUAUGGGGCUUCGUCACCCGCUCUUGUAGGCCCGGCCGGCGCUUGCCGACACAUCAAUCUUUUUUCCAGGUUGACCUCGGAUCAGGUAGGGAUACCCGCUGAACUUAAGCAUAUCAAUAAGCGGAGGA
rnacentral:misc_RNA from 1 species